rnacentral:sRNA from 1 species
GCCCAGAAUAGCCUGAUCAGCGAACACCGGGGACCCUGCCCGGUCUUCUGGGCAUUAACCAAACGGG